rnacentral:rRNA from 2 species
UAGGGAAUCUUCGGCAAUGGACGCAAGUCUGACCGAGCAACGCCGCGUGAGUGAAGAAGGUUUUCGGAUCGUAAAACUCUGUUGUUAGAGAAGAACAAGGAUGAGAGUAGAAUGUUCAUCCCUUGACGGUAUCUAACCAGAAAGCCACGGCUAACUACGUGCCAGCAGCCGCGGUAAUACGUAGGUGGCAAGCGUUGUCCGGAUUUAUUGGGCGUAAAGCGAGCGCAGGCGGUUUCUUAAGUCUGAUGUGAAAGCCCCCGGCUCAACCGGGGAGGGUCAUUGGAAACUGGGAAACUUGAGUGCAGAAGAGGAGAGUGGAAUUCCAUGUGUAGCGGUGAAAUGUGUAGAGAUUAGGAAGAACACCAGUGGCGAAGGCGACUUACUGGACUGUAACUGACACUGAGGCACGAAAGCGUGGGUAGCAAACAGG